rnacentral:rRNA from 1 species
UACGUAGGGUGCAAGCGUUGUCCGGAAUUAUUGGGCGUAAAGCGCACGUAGGCGGCUUCUUAAGUCAGGGGUGAAAUCCUGGAGCUCAACUCCAGAACUGCCUUUGAUACUGAGAAGCUUGAGUUCGGGAGAGGUGAGUGGAACUGCGAGUGUAGAGGUGAAAUUCGUAGAUAUUCGCAAGAACACCAGUGGCGAAGGCGGCUCACUGGCCCGAGUACUGACGCUGAGGUGCGAAAGCGUGGGGAGCAAACAGGG